rfam:Hypsibius dujardini strain Z151 scaffold0201, whole genome shotgun sequence.
AGCGACCUACUUCACAGGAUCAGUGCAUUAGGUUGUUAACUGCGUUACAGUCUGGAACUGUGCGAAUGUACCAAACCCCGAUGACGAGGAAAAGCGACCCCUUCUGAGCGCGAAGCCGACGCAAGCCGUUAGGCAACCGUCAUUGAUGAACGUUCCUCCGCUCCUUGAACACGCGUUGUUCGGAGGGUGAGGAGGAAGGGGUCGCAUUCCGAGAGGC